CAGUAGCCGCGGUAAUACGUAGGUGGCAAGCGUUGUCCGGAAUUAUUGGGCGUAAAGCGCGCGCAGGUGGUUUAAUAAGUCUGAUGUGAAAGCCCACGGCUCAACCGUGGAGGGUCAUUGGAAACUGUUAAACUUGAGUGCAGGAGAGAAAAGUGGAAUUCCUAGUGUAGCGGUGAAAUGCGUAGAGAUUAGGAGGAACACCAGUGGCGAAGGCGGCUUUUUGGCCUGUAACUGACACUGAGGCGCGAAAGCGUGGGGAGCAAACAGGAUUAGAACCCCUGUAGUCCCUGUCUCUUAUACA
rnacentral:rRNA from 1 species